GCGCUCUUCCUGCUGGCUCCCGGCUUCCCACCGCCCUGCUACCGCCGGCCGGUGCUCCCUGCCACCCCGGAGCAUCCAGCGCAUCCAGGGUAGAGGCUCGCCAGCCGAGGUCGGGUUGAAGUCUGGACCACCAAGCUGUGACUCGCUACUCGGCAGGUAUUCCUCUGAUACAGUGGGUAAUGACUCUGCUCUUCUGCCUGAAAGUGGUUCAAAAUAAUGAAGGAUGAAGCUGGACAUCCCAUUUUGUAUCCAGACAAGGACGAAGAGGCUGAGCAGAACCAACAGCAGAGAAAUACAAGCACAUCCAUCCCUGGGACAGAUCAUGGUGCUGAACACAUCCUUAAAACCAGAGACAGGAUUUAGGCAACUUUGAUUCAGCUAAAAAAGGAACGGGGCAGAGAAGGGAGCACACAACUGAGCCACCAAAUUCACAUUGUGGAAAAGUAAGUAUCGCAAACUCCCUCCCCAGUGCUAAGUAAAAGUGAAUUUUCUGACAGUGAAUCAACCAUUUAAAAAGAAAAAAACAAAAAUCCUGCUUUGCUCCACAUGGCAUGAGCAGCCGUCUCCAUCCUCAGUGCUUAUUACCAUCUUCUCCCACCCCUCCCCCCAGAAGGCGAUGCUCUGAUACAGCAAUCCAUCACAGAGAAGCUAUGCCUCCCCAAGAUUAAUUACAGCCAAGGGCCACAUGUCUGGCUUGGCGCGUGAUUGAUCCUGCAGGAGGAAAUGUAAGGGAUGCCAAUGGAAGCUAAUGCUGCCUUUUAUCUGGUAAGCAAAGUUCAGGGAUGUUUGCAUUUUUUCGAGGUAAGCAUGCCCCUCUCCAAAGACCCAGGAUGGAUGGACUGUCCUCUCAGCAGGAAUUCUUGCCAAGGCAACACAGAGGUGGGCCUCAGUGGGCCCCACCAGGGCCACAGAGGCCAGCCAGUCAGAACUGCUAAUUUUGCAAAUAGCCUGAUCCCAUCAUGUUUUAAUUAGCAUGAAGUAUUGCAAGCCGAUUCUGUUCAAGAGGUUGGCAAGUGAGAACUGGAUUAAGAUCAGUGCAAUAGACUUGGGAUAUAUAUAGGAGUUUUCUAAUCACCGAAAUGUACUAAAGAAGACUUUUUUGCCCUAUGUCCCUCCCAAAAACCAACUUUAGUGCAGGAUUCAUCAAAGAAAAAAAAAA